rnacentral:tRNA from 1 species
GGCUUUGUAGUGGAAAUUUGAAGACGCUAGACUGCAAUUCUGGAGAUGUAAUAUAUUACCUAAGCUU